AUCAGCUGUUUCAUAGGAAUUUGGCGCAACAUUCAGUAAAGUUUGUUUAUUUGUUUUAUAAAAUUGCUCAUAAGUGGAAGAUAAUGUGUGCUGAUAAAAAUAAUAAUAUUCAACCGAAAGAAGUUGAGUGCCCUGAUUUUGGAAUUGAAGCAGAUGGUAGUGUUGUAGGACUAGUGCCUUAUGGUUUUAACAGCAGUCCAGUUCCUCCUUUUCUGAAAAAAAUAAAGUCCUUCGCCAAAGUGGUAAAAAAUACCUCGGCAAAAAAAAAAAACAAGUAACGUUUGGCAAUACAAUAACGUGAGAGACGCUAGAACUCUCAAGCAAAGAUGUAAUUGUUUGGACAAAGGUGAGACUGCAAUCAUGAAAUGCGCACAACUGUCAGAAUCAUGUAGAGAACAAAUGUUCAAGGAAUUUUGGAAAAUGUGUUGGAAACAAAAAGGAAUUACGUUAAUACUUUGAUAGAGUGUAUUCAAACUAAAAGACCUCGAAAUCGUCGCAUAGAAAACGCAUCAAACAGUCAAACACUGCAGUAUCACCUUGAAGCCAAUAAUACAAUUUUGCGUGUGUGUCGCACUCUCUUCUUAAACACAUUGGGCAUAAGCGGAAAAACUUUUUUGAAAUGGUUGACAACGCCCUUUUCUGUAUCCAAUUCAAACAAACACAACCGAGGAAUGGCUACCCAAAGUGUACAGCAGCCAGAACUAAGUAUGUUUUUCGACAGUCUUCCAGCCACAGAAUCUCAUUAUUGGCGAGCUACAACCACAAAAAAUAUCUAUUAUCAGAAUGGCAGUCUAAGACAAAGCUUUAUGAUUUCUAUAAAAAUAAUUGGUGUACUGAACACGAAAAGCAACAUCUUUCGUUUUUUAAAACCAUACGUCCUGGUCGUGGUACAGGUGAUUCGAAAGAGACAGAUAUUCGAGCACUGAAGUAUACUCCAGAUGGAGAAAUAUUUUUUAAAUUAAGAUUUCCGCAUGAAUGGAAAAUUCUUCCACAGCGCAAAUGUAUGCAUUUAGCCCCAUUAAUGUGGUCCAACCUGGAUCAGCUUUACCAUGAAAAAAGGCCUAUUUCAAAAAGGAAAUGUGAAGACUUACAAUCUUUAAAAGUAACAUUGCCAAAAGACUACCAUAAAUUUUACGACGAGUUGCCACACAAAUGAAUUGUUUUUAUUUUGAAUAAUUAGUGUUUAAGAUUUUGAUAACUGGAACAUAUGUAUGAGUGAUUUUUUUUUUUUUUUUGACAAUGAAUUGUUCUUUAUUUUGAAUAAAUAGUGCUUAAGAUUUUGAAAACUGAAA